ensembl:lncRNA
CUGGCUCUACGCGUGGAGACAGCGGGCGAUCUGGGCGAAGGGGAAUCGCUGUCCCUCUCGCUGGCAGCUGUUUCCAAAAGCAGUCACUAAGUGAAUGAUGGAUGUGGAAGUCACUAAGCAAUAAGUGGGCUUGUCUGAUGCUAACACAUGCUCCGAGCUAAAAAGUGGUUUUCUCCAAGUCCCACGGCCGGAGCCUGCUGGUGUUCGGAGCACGCCCUUGGUAUUUUGAAGUGCCCCUUAAACCUCUUUUUGACUCCUCGUGAGGAGCGAGCAACACUUCUCUGAGGCAGGCAGGGAGCAAGUCUGGCAGCCUGUCAGCCAUGUACAGCGUGCCCAGGAUAUGGAAUGCUGUGUUUACACUGGAGCCAUGUUCUCCUGCCCCACACAAGGAGUGAACUCCACUGGCCCCAUCACUAUCGGCAGCUUGACCAGGAACCCCGCGAUCCAUCCUGCAAUCAGCCAGCACCAAACCUUCCCUGAGAUCUGUCUCAGCCAGAGGCAGCUCCUUGGAUUCUAGGCUGAUACCAGCCAGUGGACAGAGUGAUUCAUGCUGCCUGAAGAUGAGUGCCUGAAAAGUCUUGCAUCUCUCUCCCUUGAGUGUAACAACCAGUUCAUACUUGUCACUUAACUUUCCAUGGGCAAAGUGAAGUGUGGAGAGCCCUCCCUCCCUUUUAUGUUCCACAGCUAAGGAUAAUGGAUCUGAGUACUGGGAGAAAUGUGUGUGUGCCCAGAGCAAGCAGCUGCAGGAAGCUGUGAGCUCUCUGCUAAGUAGAUUAGAGACUGUAACCACGUUCUGAAGUUUUAUAAACUUCUUACUCAGUUCUUACUCGGCAGAACUCUCUGUGAAACUUUCCUACUUAGUCACUGGCUGUUCAGCGCAAAUGAUUGAUCAGAAACAUUCCUCUAAUGUAAAUCAGCCUUAUCAUGUUUAAACACUAAUAUAACUUCUACCAGCCAGGAUGUUAUGCACACUGGGAGUGGGAGGGAUGCAAACAGCUGGAAGCAUUCCCUGUUUACCGAGUCCACAUUGCCAUAGUGCUGCUUUGCACAGUUGGAGAAUCGCUGUGCAGAAGGAGCAGUUCACAAAGAGUUUAAAAUUGUUUGGCCUCGAGAACAUAUGAUUUGCUUUUCAUUUCAUGCUUUGAUUUCAGUCCUCUGGGCUAAAAAUAAGGAGACAGAAAUAUUAAGUAUACUGGCAUUUUAUUUAUUCCACUAAUUUCACUGCCAUCUUAUAGCAGGGAAUACCUUCCCACCAAAUACUUGUUUCACAUUGCAGAGAUUUCUUUCAUGCUGCUGGGAGAUGUAUUUUCUGUCUUUGAAAGUACCAUAAAAGUACAGUGAACUGACUCAAGCUGACUCAUGGUUGGGGCAGAUGAUUCUUACAGCUCAGCUGAUUCUGGAUAGCAUCAGAUUGGUUAUUUAUGGCUUUCAAGUGACUUGUUUGUUCUUCCUUAUUUAAAAUUUAAUUUUAUACUGGGCAGGCCUUGGCUAUUUAUGUAACAAUUUUAUCUGCUACCCCUCAUCUUUUACUGGAGGUAAACUGAAUACAAGUGGUAUCAUUUUUGUUUGGAGGCUUUUAUAUUUUCUAUUGGGCAAGGAUGGGACUGAAGUGAAAAUGAAGGUUGUAAUUCUUGUUGUCUGGACAGCUUUGCUUUAGUCAUACUCUCAGCCUUGACUUCUAAGUGCAAACAGGAACUUGAGUCACUUGUGGGAAAAGGUGCAGACUUGCUUACGACAUUUCACCUGCAGUGGAAGGAUUGUCCUUCACUCUAAUUCAGUUGUUAAAGUAAAACCGAAUGACACAGCACUGAUAAAUCCAUAUACUGAACUACUUGUAUCACCUUGCUCCCUUUAUCUUACUGGACUUACUGUCUUAAGAGCACUAAGUUACUUCUGGAAAUAAGCUUUUUUCCUGGGAUACAAAACAGUGAGCUAAUUAAAAAGAUAUUUUUUUUUUUUUCACUUGGUCAUUUUAACAACAUUUUCUUCUCACAGAUGUCAUUGAAUCAGCUACUAAAAGAAAUACUCAAUUAUGAGAUAAUUUACAUCUACAGGAAAAUCCCAGGAUGGUUAUAUUAAAUGUCUUGCUGUAUGACAGAGAUCUCAUCCACCAACUACACAAUAUGCAGUUAAUUUCAUAUAGGAGUUCAUUGACUGUUUUCUCACAUGGCACUCUCAUGUGGUAUUUAGGGUUUCAUAUCCCUAAACUUAUAUCCAGUGGUAGAGUGUCCCGUCAGUGAUACAGAGUGCUUUCCUGGCAGAGUAAGGAAGGGGAAUUCUGGUAUCUGGCUAUUUAAAUUUUAGAUGUCACCCCCUGUCAUCUUUCUUUCCAGUACUGGUAAAUAAAGGACAAAAAUUAAUGUUGCUAUAUAGUACA